rnacentral:rRNA from 1 species
GUGGGGAAUAUUGCACAAUGGGGGAAACCCUGAUGCAGCAACGCCGCGUGAGUGAUGAAGGUCUUCGGAUUGUAAAACUCUGUCUUUGGGGACGAUAAUGACGGUACCCAAGGAGGAAGCCACGGCUAACUACGUGCCAGCAGCCGCGGUAAUACGUAGGUGGCAAGCGUUGUCCGGAUUUACUGGGCGUAAAGGGAGCGUAGGCGGAUUUUUAAGUGGGAUGUGAAAUACCCGGGCUUAACCUGGGUGCUGCAUUCCAAACUGGAAGUCUAGAGUACAGGAGGGGAAAGUGGAAUUCCUAGUGUAGCGGUGAAAUGCGUAGAGAUUAGGAAGAACACCGGUGGCGAAGGCGACUUUCUGGACUGUAACUGACGCUGAGGCUCGAAAGCGUGGGGAGCAAACAGGAUUAGAUACCCUGGUAGUCC